rnacentral:rRNA from 1 species
AUUGAACGCUGGCGGCAUGCCUUACACAUGCAAGUCGAACGGUAACGCGGGGCAACCUGGCGACGAGUGGCGAACGGGUGAGUAAUAUAUCGGAACGUGCCCAGUAGUGGGGGAUAGCCCGGCGAAAGCCGGAUUAAUACCGCAUGAGACCUGAGGGUGAAAGCGGGGGAUCGCAAGACCUCGCGCUAUUGGAGCGGCCGAUAUCAGAUUAGCUAGUUGGUGGGGUAAAGGCCUACCAAGGCAACGAUCUGUAGUUGGUCUGAGAGGACGACCAGCCACACUGGGACUGAGACACGGCCCAGACUCCUACGGGAGGCAGCAGUGGGGAAUUUUGGACAAUGGGCGCAAGCCUGAUCCAGCAAUGCCGCGUGCAGGAAGAAGGCCUUCGGGUUGUAAACUGCUUUUGUCAGGGAAGAAAUCUUCUGGGUUAAUACCUCGGGAGGAUGACGGUACCUGAAGAAUAAGCACCGGCUAACUACGUGCCAGCAGCCGCGGUAAUACGUAGGGUGCGAGCGUUAAUCGGAAUUACUGGGCGUAAAGCGUGCGCAGGCGGCUUUGCAAGACAGAUGUGAAAUCCCCGGGCUCAACCUGGGAACUGCAUUUGUGACUGCAAGGCUAGAGUACGGCAGAGGGGGAUGGAAUUCCGCGUGUAGCAGUGAAAUGCGUAGAUAUGCGGAGGAACACC